GCAAACUCCUUGGGGAAAUUCCCCGGGCGUCAACGGGAGAGAGUCCCAUCCGGAAACGGAAAUCACCGGCGCGGCAGCCGCUCGUUCCACGAAGAUGGCCGAUAUGUCACUUGUGUCGUUCGGCAAGAGUUUUAUAGCGAGACGGCGCCGUCAAAAAGCCGCCGCCAUAUCAAAGUAAUGCCAUCAUUAUUAAACUCAACGGGGGUCACUACU
rnacentral:RNase_MRP_RNA from 1 species